ACAGAGGGUGCAAGCGUUGUUCGGAAUUAUUGGGCGUAAAGGGCGCGUAGGCGGUUCGGCAAGUCUUCAGUGAAAUCUCUCGGCUCAACUGAGAGUCUGCUGGGGAAACUGCCGGGCUUGAGUGUGGGAGAGGAGAGUGGAAUUCCUGGUGUAGCGGUGAAAUGCGUAGAUAUCAGGAGGAACACCUGAGGCGAAAGCGGCUCUCUGGACCACAACUGACGCUGAGGCGCGAAAGCUAGGGGAGCAAACAGGA
rnacentral:rRNA from 1 species